rnacentral:rRNA from 1 species
UGAGGAAUUUUGCGCAAUGGGGGGAACCCUGACGCAGCAACGCCGCGUGAGUGAAGAAGGCCUUCGGGUUGUAAAGCUCUGUCAGAGCUGAAGAAACUACUUCGGGUAAAUAGCCCGUUGUACUGACGGUAAGCUCAGAGGAAGCACCGGCUAACUCCGUGCCAGCAGCCGCGGUAAUACGGAGGGUGCAAGCGUUGUUCGGAUUUAUUGGGCGUAAAGAGCGUGUAGGCGGUUUUGCUAGUCAGGUGUGAAAUCCCGGGGCUUAACCCCGGAACUGCGCCUGAAACUGCAGGACUUGAGUACGGGAGAGGUAGGUGGAAUUCCUGGUGUAGAGGUGAAAUUCGUAGAUAUCAGGAGGAACACCCGUGGCGAAAGCGACCUACUGGACCGAUACUGACGCUGAGACGCGAAAGCGUGGGGAGCAAACAGGAUUAGAUACCCUGGUAGUCCACGCCGUAAACGUUGGGCACUAGGUGUUGCGGGUGUUGACCCCUGCAGUGCCGAAGCAAACGCAUUAAGUGCCCCGCCUGGGGAGUACGGCCGCAAGGCUA